CAGUAGCCGCGGUAAUACAGAGGGUGCGAGCUUUAAUCGGAUUUACUGGGCGUAAAGCGUGCGUAGGCGGCUUUUUAAGUCGGAUGUGAAAUCCCUGAGCUUAACUUAGGAAUUGCACUCGAUACUGGGAAGCUAGAGUAUGGGAGAGGAUGGUAGAAUUCCAGGUGUAGCGGUGAAAUGCGUAGAGAUCUGGAGGAAUACCGAUGGCGAAGGCAGCCAUCUGGCCUAAUACUGACGCUGAGGUACGAAAGCAUGGGGAGCAAACAGGAUUAGAUACCCCCGUAGUCCCUGUCUCUUAUAC
rnacentral:rRNA from 1 species